CACGUAGGGUGCGAGCGUUGUCCGGAAUUAUUGGGCGUAAAGAGCUCGUAGGCGGUGUGUCGCGUCGGCCGUGAAAACUUGCAGCUUAACUGUGGGCGUGCGGUCGAUACGGGCAUCACUGGAGUUCGGCAGGGGAGACUGGAAUUCCUGGUGUAGCGGUGAAAUGCGCAGAUAUCAGGAGGAACACCGGUGGCAAAGGCGGGUCUCUGGGCCGAUACUGACGCUGAGGAGCGAAAGCGUGGGGAGCGAACAGG
rnacentral:rRNA from 1 species